rnacentral:rRNA from 1 species
GCAAAGGUAGCAUAAUAAUUUGCUUCAUAAUUGGGGGCUGGUAUGAAUGGAAUUACGAAGAUUUUUCUUUCUUUUUUUUUUUUUAUGAAAUUAUAAUUAAGGGGAAGAAACAUUAUUUUUUAUAUAAGACAAGAAGACCCUUUUGAGCUUUAUUUUUUUUUUAUUUUUUAUAAAACUUAUUAUUUAGUUGGGGCGAUUAAAGAAGAAUUUUUAAAAAUCUUCUUUUAAAUAUUUUGAACCAAAGUUUUUGGUUUUUAGAACUAGUUACCAAAGGGAUAACAGCGUAAUUUUUUUUAAGAGUUCUUAUUAAAAAAAAAGAUUGGCACCUCGAUG